rnacentral:rRNA from 1 species
AUUGAACGCUGGCGGCAGGCCUAACACAUGCAAGUCGAGCGGAUGAAGGGAGCUUGCUCCUGGAUUCAGCGGCGGACGGGUGAGUAAUGCCUAGGAAUCUGCCUGGUAGUGGGGGAUAACGUCCGGAAACGGGCGCUAAUACCGCAUACGUCCUGAGGGAGAAAGUGGGGGAUCUUCGGACCUCACGCUAUCAGAUGAGCCUAGGUCGGAUUAGCUAGUUGGUGGGGUAAAGGCCUACCAAGGCGACGAUCCGUAACUGGUCUGAGAGGAUGAUCAGUCACACGGGAACUGAGACACGGUCCAGACUCCUACGGGAGGAAGCAGUGGGGAAUAUUGGACGAUGGGCGAAAGCCUGAUCCAGCCAUGCCGCGUGUGUGAAGAAGGUCUUCGGAUUGUAAAGCACUUUAAGUUGGGAGGAAGGGCAGUAAGUUAAUACCUUGCUGUUUUGACGUUACCAACAGAAUAAGCACCGGCUAACUUCGUG